rnacentral:rRNA from 1 species
GAUGAACGCUAGCGGGAGGCUUAAUACAUGCAAGUCGAGGGGCAGCAUAGAACUUCGGUUCUGAUGGCGACCGGCGAACGGGUGAGUAACGCGUACACAAUCUACCUUUUAGUGGGGAAUAGCCUUGGGAAACUAAGAUUAAUACCCCAUAGUAUUACUUUUAAUAUUUAUUAGUAAUUAAAGCUCCGGCGCUGAAAGAUGAGUGUGCGUCUGAUUAGGUAGUUGGUAGGGUAAAGGCCUACCAAGCCGACGAUCAGUAGGGGGCGUGAGAGCGUGGACCCCCACACGGGUACUGAGACACGGACCCGACUCCUACGGGAGGCAGCAGUAAGGAAUAUUGGACAAUGGGCGAAAGCCUGAUCCAGCCAUCCCGCGUGCAGGAUGACGGCCCUAUGGGUUGUAAACUGCUUUUGUUAGGGAAGAAACCCUUGGAUUUAUCCGAGGCUGACGGUACCUAAAGAAUAAGCACCGGCUAACUCCGUGCCAGCAGCCGCGGUAAUACGGAGGGUGCAAGCGUUAUCCGGAAUCACUGGGU